rnacentral:lncRNA from 1 species
GUCAAUUUUAUAUUAGUUGGUUUAAAUUUUCAAUACUUAUUUAUUUAUUUUAAUCUUUUAUUUAUCUAAAACAGGGAGUUAUCCCAAAAUUUUUCCACGUUCUCAUAUUCCUCUCCCCCUCUUUCUUUGACGAUUCACUUUUUUUCUUUUUGUCAGUUUCUUCUUUUUUUCUUGUUUCCUCUAUUUUUCUCUUUUUCCUUCUAUUCUAUUUCAAUUAUUUUUGGUUGUUGUCAUUAGUUAUUAUUUUACAAUUUCGUCGACACGAGUUUCUGGGUAAGGGUAGCUUGAGUUGGAUUGUUUUGAUUUUCAUCUAAACUGGUAUUGCAAAUUUCAUGUCAGAUGGAUUUUGUUUUUGUGUGUGCAUGUAAGUUUGAAGUUUGGAUUGAGGUUAUUGUGGGGCUUUAGUUGCGAGUUCAGGUGUG